UACGUAGGUGACCAGCGUUGUCCGGAUUUACUGGGCGUAAAGAGCGCGCAGGCGGUCGUUCAAGUCGGGUGUGAAAGCCACCGGCUCAACUGGGGAGGGUCAUUCGAUACUGAUCGACUUGAAGGCAGGAGAGGGAAGCGGAAUUCCCGGUGUAGUGGUGAAAUGCGUAGAUAUCGGGAGGAACACCAGUGGCGAAGGCGGCUUCCUGGCCUGUUCUUGACGCUGAGGCGCGAAAGCUAGGGGAGCAAACGGG
rnacentral:rRNA from 1 species